rnacentral:rRNA from 1 species
UACGUAGGGGGCAAGCGUUGUCCGGAUUUAUUGGGCGGAAAGAGCGCGCAGGCGGUCGUUCAAGUCGCGUGUGAAAGCCCCCGGCUCAACUGGGGAGGGUCACGCGAUACUGAUCGACUGGAAGGCAGGAGAGGGUAGUGGAAUUCCCGGUGUAGUGGUGAAAUGCGUAGAUAUUCGGAAGAACACCAGUGGCGAAGGCGACUCGCUGGACAAGUAUUGACGCUGAGGUGCGAAAGCGUGGGGAGCAAACAGG